rnacentral:rRNA from 1 species
UACGGAGGGUGCAAGCGUUAUCCGGAUUCACUGGGCUUAAAGGGUGCGUAGGUGGGUUGGUAAGUCAGUGGUGAAAUCCCCGAGCUUAACUUGGGAACUGCCAUUGAUACUAUCAGUCUUGAAUACCGUGGAGGUCAGUGGAAUAUGUCAUGUAGCGGUGAAAUGCUUAGAUAUGACAUAGAACACCAAUUGCGAAGGCAGCUGGCUACACGAAUAUUGACACUGAGGCACGAAAGCGUGGGGAUCAAACAGG